AGCCUUUUGUUUAUUUAUAAAAGGUAAAACCUGCCCAGUGAUUUACGAAUUAAACGGCCGCGGUACCCUGACCGUGCUAAGGUAGCAUAUAAUUUGCCCUUUAAUUGGGGGCUAGAAUGAAUGGACAAACGAAAAUGUAACUGUCUCAAUAAUAAAAAACUAAAUUUACCUCUAAGUGAAAAGGCUUAGAUUAUAUAAAAAGACAAAAAGACCCCAUAGAGCUUUAUUAUUAAAACAUAAAAAGAAAAUAUAAUAUAUUCCAUUUUAUUAUCUAAAUAAUUUAAUUGGGGCGAUUAGAGAGCAAUAACCCUCUCUUUCAUAUAUAGGCUCUUUCCGUAAUAUGAUCCUUAAACGAUUAAAGAAAUAAGCUACCUUGGGGAUAACAGGCUAAUUUCUUUCAAGAGUACAUAUCGAAAAAGAAGGUUGGCACCUCGAUGUUGGCUUAGAGGCCCCUAAGGGUUGCAGCAGCUCUUAAGGCGGGUUUGUUCAACCCAUAAACCUCU
rnacentral:rRNA from 1 species